GUGAUAAUCGCGAUUGUAUCAAUUAUUGAGAAUUACGCUCUUAUGAGGUGCGUUCGUAAAGAAAACGAGAGAAAAAAAGAAAAUUUUAUGAACAUACGUUGGACCAUUUUCACGAUCGGAAACUAUUUAACGAUGCGCCUUUACGACGCGAACCUGUAACAUCAGCUAUUAUAUGGCGUGCCGCUCGUGCGCGCGCGCGUGCUCACGAGUACAGACAUACGUUACAAAAUCGUAAAUUCUUACGACUACUUCGUCUUUUGCAAAACGACUGUGCGCUGCCAGUGAUUUGUCCAUUUCGACGACAACGACGACAUCUUUUAAAUGGGCUCAUAAAAUAAAUAACAAUGUCGAUCGUACCUAUUUUAUUUAUUUUUUUCGUAGUUCCUAUUAUUUACUUCGUGAUUUCUUCAUUGUAAGUUUUAUAGAAAAAAUACUUUUUCUAUUUCUUUUAUAGUCAUAUUUUGAAAUGUCAAACGUUUGAAUAUCAAAACGACACUUAGGCAGCUUAACCCGAUUGGUUUUUGCUCGUAUUUCGUUGUUAGUCGUUGAGUGGACGCUUGCACCUUUAUAAAUCAUCGACUCGGUACUUAAUCGCCUGGAAUUCGGGCUGGACGUUACCACGAGAUACGUAGAGCUUUUGCAUGAAAUCUCGGCAAUUUCGAAUAUUUCGUAAUCCUAUUUUAAUCCCUUAAGCACAGAUUUUCCAUUCCUAUUUUCGUAUAGACGAAUCGCUUGGGCGGUCGAGACACGACGCGUUCUCCUCUUGAAUCUCCUCCCUCUUUAUCCUCUUCCAUCUCUUCUCGUUAUGUCUGCAAGCUCUUACGAAGCUAACACCUGUGACCGCGAUCCGUGGCUCGUAUAUCGGCGAUUUGGGAGAAUUUCUAUUUAGAAGCACGAUAUUAAUAAGCGGCAUCAACGCAUUACCGCUUCACCAGUUAUGCCUCCCUCGUUCAGCCCGUCUCCUUGAAAAUGCUUAAAAGCGUUCGUCUCAAAGCUUGUAAUUGAGUCGAGGAAAAUCAGGAUUCUGGAUGAGAAAUAUACCUAGACGUCUAUAAAAACGUGGCAAUUUGGCGCGUCUCGAAAACACCUGACAAAAUGCAUGAAGAUUCAUUUCGUGAAUAUGCUUAUACAUGUAUCUACAUAUACGUUGAGCAUCAUUGAGCGAAUCACAAGCAAGUAGCGUCCGUAGGAAAUUUAAUGGGCGUGUUUAACGUGGAUAAACCACGAUAUUCGUCUCUUUCUCCAAAUCUUUAGGAUCAUUUCUAGUCGAGGAAUCGAUCAAACGUAAAAUAUGAACCGUACUUUUUUUAAUUUCAAACCGGAAAUUUUUUAAUUAGAAGAUCGAUUCGUGUGACAUUUACGUAAAAAGAAAAGUUAUUAAUUUCGGGUUGGACGAAGUCUCUCGUUCAGUUAAGAGCCGAGUGUACUUGGGUCUCGAGACUUAACCGUAGCCGGUAAGUGCUUCGUCGGGCAGCCCGCAGCCACGGAAAUCGCUUUUAUGCGGUAAGUCGGUCGAUUGCGAAUCAACCGGUUACAAUUAAUGGGAAUUCCCCUUUCGUGCGAGAAAGCGAAUCGAGGUUCUCUCGUCUGAUAAUGAAACUCUGAGCAUGAAUACCCGUCAAAUUCCAAAUGUAAUUAUUUAUUAAUUUGAUUGUAUAUUUUUGAAUGUACCAUUGUCCGUAGAAAUUUCGCAAUUGUAGAGUAUCGCUUCACAAGAUUUUACUUCCAUUUUGUAUUAUAGUAAAAUUACACGCCCGUUGUCGAUAUCAUUGAUCUCGGGAAAGUCGUAAAUCAUAUUUGUUAUUCUUCUUUUUCUUAAAAAAAUAACGUAUUGUUAACUAUUUCCAUGACAGAUCAAUAGUCUAGGAAGAUCACGUUAAUAAAAUCAUUUACGUUUUUCGAACCAACGGAGUGAAGUUAUCAAGCUACUUAUAAUUUAUGCAUCUGAGAAAUGUUCAAGCAUCGGUUAAGUACGUUUAAGUUUGCCACGGGCAAAGUUCGUAAUUUCUUUUGCAAAAGAGUCGAUUACUGCAUUUGCCGAGUAACGGCAAGUUUAGAAUAUCGUCUUUAAUCGCAUCCAUGGAAUUUGGAGAGCUUUUAAACUCAUGCUCGUUUACUCAACAAAACCAUUACUCUAAUCCCAUAGUAAUUUUACCUCGAAGUAUAUCGUAAUUUUGUCUAUUCGAAGAGAUGUCGUUAGACAUUUUUUCUCUUUCUCUUAGAGUAAUGAAAAAAAAAUUAAUUAUUUACCAAACGACUAAUGAACUUUCGAUGUUGCGAUUCAGAGCUUUUAAGCAAUAAUCUCCAUGAGUGUAAUAUAAAAAUAAGUUGGAUACAAAAAUUGAAAUAGUAAACAGAACAAGUGUAUCCGCAUAUAUCAGAAUUAUAAUGUAAUUAUUAUUCCAGAAAAAAGUACAAUUAUAAUCGACGUCAAAAAGGGACUAGUAGAUAGAUGGCAUCAUUUUUUCUGGUAUACAUUUUAAGCAUACCAGUAUUUUCUAUGGAAGUACUAAUUUUAUUCGGAAUACUGGAUGAAAAGUAAAAGUAGUCAUGACGUAUCUAUCGUUCGUAGUAGGUGAUACUAGUAGAAACAUAGUGUGAUAUGCGUCCUAGAAGGGUCAAAUCAACCCUUUCUCUCUCUUCGCUUCUCCUCAACGAAUAAGCCAGAGUUUCUAGUAAAAAUCAUCGAUUCGCACUUUCUCUGUAAAAUUGAACAUCAGCCAAGGAAAUAGAAGAAGAAAAGAAAUGAUGAACAGUAAAGAAGAAUACGGAUGUUACGAGAAAUAGAUGGACGAGCAGAUGUAAGAGAACGAUUAUCUUGCGUCGAGGGUUUCGAAUCUGAUAGUGGUUGUUUCGGAUGGUGCUUUCAGGUUGGUCGGUAGGAACAGAAGGGUGCUUUUAAGAUAUUGACUCUUCCAGAAAAAUCGAAGAGAAGGUGUAAGUGGAAAAAGAGAACAGGGAGACUAUGUACACGAACACUAUAAACGCGUUAUAACCCGUGAAAUUGGACUACCAUGGCGACCGGCUGACGAUAUUUGUUUUCAUUGACCGAUUCGUUAGUCCGAAUAGUUAACCUUAACUCAAUCUCAAAUAACAUUCAGUUGUAUACAGUCGCAGUCUAACUCUGUCCCAAGUCACAUUCAGUCACAUACAGUCACAAAUUUACUCAGUCUCAAGUCACAUUCGGUCGCAUAUACGCCAGUCUCUUUCCUAAAUUGAGACAAUCUCAUUCGGAUAUUUAGUUAUAUUCGGACAUUGAAUCCUAUUCAAGUCAUAUGGUUAGUCAAAUUUCAUUCGCCUAGUCCAUCUGAACAAUUCAUGAAAUUGACAAUUACCAAGAGUCGCAUUCGAGAACUUUAUCAUAACAUUGUACGUACUAAAAAUAAAUUCGUUUGUUUUGUUAUCUGAUAUUUUGA